rnacentral:rRNA from 1 species
GUGAGGAAUAUUGGGCAAUGGGCGGAAGCCUGACCCAGCAACGCCGCGUGGAGGAAGAAGGCCUUUGGGUUGUAAACUCCUUUUAAGGGGGAAGAGGAAGGACGGUACCCCAGGAAUAAGUCACGGCUAACUACGUGCCAGCAGCCGCGGUAAUACGUAGGUGACAAGCGUUAUCCGGAAUUACUGGGCGUAAAGCGCACGCAGGCGGCAUGACAAGUCUGACGUGAAAUCUCCUGGCUUAACUGGGAGAGGUCGUUGGAAACUGUAAGGCUUGAGGCGAUGAGAGGGGUGUAGAAUUCCCGGUGUAGUGGUGGAAUGCGUAGAUAUCGGGAGGAAUACCAGUGGCGAAAGCGGCACCCUGGCAUUAGCCUGACGCUCAUGUGCGAAAGCGUGGGGAGCGAACGGGAUUAGAAACCCUAGUAGUCC